GACUACAGCUUCUUCAUACAGUCAGUGUUUGUAGGGUAAGAUGAGCAAGAAGGUACAGUAAGUGUGGGAGGAGCUCAAUGUUUUGUCGACUCCUGCAGAAUAAAUCAAAUAGACAACACUGACUUCCCUUCAUACUGAUGAUACUGAAUCUGAACUCAAACUACAGAAACAUGUUACUCAUCACUUCUGUUUUAAUAUUUAUCCUCAGUUACUGUGAAGCGAAUGGGAAUGUCAUCAGACCAGAUCAACCAUCUGUAGUUUUAACUGAAGGAAGCAGCAUCAAUCUGUCCUGUACAUUUGAUGGAUCAGCUUACAGUCUCCACUGGUACCGGCAGAUGCCUGGAUCAAGACCAGAGUUUCUGCUGCUGAUUGUUGAAUCUUCUAAGUAUGUUGAAGCUUCUCCACCUCACCCGCAUAUGUUCAUCAGACUUCAUGAUAAACGUGUGGAUCUGGAGAUCUCCUCUGCUGCAGUAUCAGACUCUGCUCUGUAUUACUGUGCUCUGCAGCCCACAGUGACAGGAAACACAAGAACACUGUACAAAAACAGUUUUCUUGUAUAUUGUAGUCAUAUUUCUAAGAGGGAGGAGCCUCUGAUGUAUUGUGUUGCCUUAUUUCUCUGAGAACUUGUUUGCAAAUGUUAGUGCAUCAUAUUUCUUGUUAAAGGGUUUGUUCACCCAAAAAUUAAUUUCUGUCAUUAAUUACUCACCCUCAUGC